CACCCGCAUUCCUGCAGCACCUUCUGCACCCUACCGAGGGCUACAGGCCUGGAUUUUUCCAUUGCGUUGAGUGCCUUGCUGAUCUCCUCAAAAUGGUCCAGGAGUUUUUCCCUGAAAGAGAAGCCACCUCAGACAUUAAGUCCAGGAGAAAAGUAACUCUUGAUGCUCACUCCACCGUGACAACCUGACCGUUGAGCCAAGAGCUAUUAUGGAGAGAUUUUGCAGGGUCGGAGAGGUGUUUGUGUGAACAGGAGUUCCAGAGAAAAGUGGUCAGCCUCUGCUGCCUUCCUUUUAUCACCAUUACCAGCCACGGCACCGCCCUGGAGAAAUGCCGACCCCGGUUUCUGUAUCAGAGUUGGUACUUUUCAAAGGGAACCAAGAAUUUUAACACAAGGCUGGGUAAACAUGUGCACGGAGUAAAUGCAGGCUUGGAGCAGAGAUCGACAAAUCCUGCCAAACAGAGCUGCUGUUGGCCCACACUGGGCAGCAGCGCCAUUCUGGGGUCUUGUCCUCCUCUGGCUCUGACUAGUGAUGCUGAGGAGGACACAGCCCUGACCCGGUAGUCACCGAGACCUGUUUACUUCCUUACCCGCUGUGCUCACCUGCUCCCUCUCCACGUGCUUCCCCGAGUGGGCUGUACCAGGUGGCUGCUCCCUGGCUUUCCUUGUUCUCAGUUUUAAGAGCAGAAUAAAGGCCUGGAGAUGAAUGCCGGACCACAAGAGCCUCUGCCUCGCUGGCAACACGCACUAGGACGACUCCUACCAAAACUAACUCCACGGGAUGGAGGCAAACGUCUAUUACUCUGACCUUCAAUUCAUCUACCCGUGUUUUCUGAGCUCAUGAAGCCGGUCGCCCCGAUGGCUAGUCAUUAUCUAAUGAUUCCUUCAUGUGUGUGCAGGCGGUGUGUGCAGGUGUGCGUGGAGGCCAGAGGUGGUGCUGCUGGUGUUGUAGGUCCUUGGAAGCCACCAUUCUGUUUGUUUGAGGCGGGGUCUCUUUCUAGCCUGCAUCUCUCCAGGCUAAGACCAGUUGACCAGUGAGCCCCAGGAACCCCCUUUUCUCCACCCCCCUGACACUAGGAACAGGCAGGCACCAUCGUGCCUGGGCCAAGUUGGUUUUGGGAGAUGGAGCUGCUCACGUGUUUGCCUUCUUUGGUGAGAUGGCACCACUGAGGCAGGAGGUCAGGCGAGGGUCAGAGUACAGUGUGGCACAGCACACAGAUCUCCAGCCCAUCCCAGUGCUGUCACCGGCGCAGAGGAGAGGAAGUAUUUGCAUAAGAAGGGCCAAGGAGCCGCAUUACUCACACGUGGGGGGAGAGACAGGCACGAAGACCCUCAUGGGUAAUGAGGCCAGCCCUGUCUGCUGAAGAUAAAUUCCACUUCUCAUCAGUUUGUGGCACAUUUGAUUUAUACCAGCCUUGUGCGUAUUUUACACUGACUUUCACAAACUCAAUCAUUUGCCUGCGGUUUCCGCGGUGCGGUAACUUCGACAUAAUCCAAGGGUAAAUUUCACCUGCUUGCCUCUUAAGCCCACCCUGCCCUGUGUCUUCCUUGUUUCCUUUGGGAGUUCCUCAGCAGCUCCUCUUCCAUUACCUUGCGUGCCUUGAUUGGGGGGACAAUGCUGACGGUGACAGCUGAGUGCCACCAUUUGAAAUGGCAGGGACAGCCACACACAGGUAAAAGCAGGAGGAGCCACAUACACAGUAGCUCACCUUUACUUAAUGUCCCUCUGUCCUUGCUCAAGCACAGACACCCUGGCCUAUGCAUGCAUGCAUUUCAAAUCCCCGUGGCCCGUGGGCCAUGGUCACAUGCCUUCCAGCGUGUGCAGCAAUGGUUUUAAUAGGCAGACACGAGGUCAUACAUUACUCCCCAAGGCCAGCACGCUGACUCAGGGUGGGGAAGGGUCUCCUUUGUUGUGAGUCACCUGUACCAUUGCAAACAGCUUUGGGUUAUGCUUGGGAUAAAGUCCUUGAAGCAAAAAUGGUGAGUUAAACCACCGCCAUCCAUUCCUCUGUGCGUUCACUUAAAGGUGCUGACAUGGUGCCUGCAUUCCAGAUGGGCCACUGCAGGGUGCCCAACUAGGAAGGACAGUGUUGGGGCGGGGGUGGGGGGAUAAAAUAAGAAAGAGCCUGUGAAAUGUGGCUGUCUGGGGAAAGACAUGGGUAAGGCUUCCUGUAUUGUGGCUCUUUAGAAGAGCUGCUUUCUAGGCUCCACGGUGUCACGUGAUGUCGGUGUCGCGUGAUGUUGCAGUCUUAUGGGAGCCCUGUCAGAGCAGCCUUUGCUGUCUGGGUGAAUGAGGGCAGAACCCAGAGGCGGCACCCCAUGCUGACACACCCACCUUUCACUUAUCUGGUGCAGCUCCUGGAUUUCCUCCUGGACCUGCUUGGGCUUCGUGAAGUGACCCAGGAAGUUGAAGUAAUCUUCCUUGUAGGGCCGGUGGACCUUUGGGGAGUAUCGAAUGCCCAGUCUGUGCAGGAACUCUUGGUACGUGAUAUAACCCCUUCCCUCGGUGUCAUAGCUUUGAAGAAACAAAGGCAAUGCUGUCAGUGGAGGUGUGGAAAGUGAGCUGGCACUCGGGGGGCCGGAGCCACAUCAGCGGGAAGUCUUCCUCCUUGUCAGGUACAAGCAAGGCCAGCAGACUCAUCACGAACACAGCCUCAGCCCGUGCCUAUGACCCUCUCUGUGCCUACACUUAACAGGGCCUCCAGGAGAUCUGCAGGUCCACUGACUUGACAAUCAGAGACAAGCCCUAGGAGAACAGACCCAAAGCACCCAUCUGCAAUGUUUAUGGAAACACGGUGGCAAAUUGCAGAAACAGACCCCCCCAAGCCCCCCUGUGCACACACUUUUAGUUGGGUACCGCCAUGUAAAUGGAGUUAGACUAGGGGUUAGAAGAAAACCUUUCAGGAAGCAUAUUCCACCUUGAAGCCUCAAUAAAUGAAUACCACUUGAUUCAAGGAUGUUAAAAGCCCCUGUCUCUACUUUGAAGAGACACCAAUUACACAUACCCAGCAAGGGAGCCUAGAAGGAAAACAAGAUAAGAACCGUGCUUUGUGCCUUUUAAGUCAUUUUCUGUUAUCAAGAUUUUUCUGAAUUAUAAUUCAUUAAAAAGGGAAUAAUGGAAGUUUUAUCUCCUGAUGCUAUUCACAUAGAAUAGAAUUACUUCAAUAAAAAAUUUGAAGGCAAA